rnacentral:rRNA from 1 species
GAUGAACGCUGGCGGCGUGCCUAAUACAUGCAAGUCGAGCGAACAGACGAGGAGCUUUCUCCUCUGACGUUAGCGGCGGACGGGUGAGUAACACGUGGAUAACCUACCUAUAAGACUGGGAUAACUUUGGGAAACCGGAGCUAAUACCGGAUAAUAUAUUGAACCGCAUGGUUCAAUAGUGAAAGACGGUUUUGCUGUCACUUAUAGAUGGAUCCGCGCCGCAUUAGCUAGUUGGUAAGGUAACGGCUUACCAAGGCGACGAUGCGUAGCCGACCUGAGAGGGUGAUCGGCCACACUGGAACUGAGACACGGUCCAGACUCCUACGGGAGGCAGCAGUAGGGAAUAUUCCGCAAUGGGCGAAAGCCUGACGGAGCAACGCCGCGUGAGCGAUGAAGGUCUUCGGAUCGUAAAACUCUGUUAUUAGGGAAGAACAAAUGUGUAAGUAACUAUGCACGUCUUGACGGUACCUAAUCAGAAAGCCACGGCUAACUACGUG